rnacentral:rRNA from 1 species
UACGUAGGGUGCGAGCGUUGUCCGGAAUUAUUGGGCGUAAAGGGCUCGUAGGCGGUCUGUUGCGUCAGGAGUGAAAACUCGGGGCUUAACCCCGAGCCUGCUUCUGAUACGGGCAGACUAGAGGUAUGCAGGGGGAGAACGGAAUUCCUGGUGUAGCGGUAGAAAUGCGCAGAUAUCAGGAGGAACACCGGUGGCGAAGGCGGUUCUCUGGGCAUUACCUGACGCUGAGGAGCGAAAGUGUGGGGGAGCGAACAGG